rnacentral:tRNA from 1 species
AAGGGUAUGGCUCAAGAGGUAGAGCGUGUGCUUAGCAUGCACGAGGUCCUGGGUUCAAUCCCCAGCACCUCCU